AGAAAAGUAAGCUAAAUUAAGCUAGUGGGUUCAUACCCCAAUAAUAGAGAUUUCUCUCUUCUCUA
rnacentral:tRNA from 1 species